rnacentral:rRNA from 1 species
GCCCUUAGAGUUUGAUCCUGGCUCAGAACGAACGCUGGCGGCAGGCUUAACACAUGCAAGUCGAACGAGAAACCCUUUCGGGGGUGGACAGUGGCAGACGGGUGAGUAACGCGUGGGAAACUACCCAGAGGUACGGGACAACCAUUGGAAACGAUGGCUAAUACCGCAUACGCCCCCCUUAGUGAAAUUUGGGGGGGAAAGAUUUAUCGCCUUUGGAUGUGCCCGCGUAAGAUUAGUUUGUUGGUGGGGUAAUGGCCUACCAAGGCUACGAUCUUUAGCUGGUCUGAGAGGAUGAUCAGCCACAUUGGGACUGAGACACGGCCCAGACUCCUACGGGAGGCAGCAGUGGGGAAUAUUGCGCAAUGGGGGCAACCCUGACGCAGCCAUGCCGCGUGAGUGAAGAAGGCCUUAGGGUUGUAAAGCUCUUUCGCCGGGGAAGAUAAUGACGGUACCCGGUAAAGAAGCCCCGGCUAACUCCGUGCCAGCAGCCGCGGUAAUACGGAGGGGGCUAGCGUUGUUCGGAAUCACUGGGCGUAAAGCGCGCGUAGGCGGAUUGAUUAGUUGGGGGUGAAAUCCCGGGGCUUAACCCCGGAACUGCCUUCAAUACUGUCAGUCUUGAGUUCGUGAGAGGUAAGCGGAAUUCCGAGUGUAGAGGUG